rnacentral:rRNA from 1 species
UACGUAGGGUGCAAGCGUUAAUCGGAAUUACUGGGCGUAAAGCGUGCGCAGGCGGUUUUGUAAGUCUGUCGUGAAAUCCCCGGGCUCAACCUGGGAAUUGCGAUGGAGACUGCAAGGCUAGAAUCUGGCAGAGGGGGGUAGAAUUCCACGUGUAGCAGUGAAAUGCGUAGAGAUGUGGAGGAACACCGAUGGCGAAGGCAGCCCCCUGGGUCAAGAUUGACGCUCAUGCACGAAAGCGUGGGGAGCAAACAGGAUUAGACUACCCUGUA